rnacentral:misc_RNA from 1 species
UUUCCGUAGUAAGUCCUAAUCUUGUUCAAUAUCAUUGAAUCAAUAACUAACAGUAUAUUUAGGGUGAACCUGCGGAGGGAUCAUUACUGAGUGAGGGUCUCCGGGCCCGACCUCCAACCCUUUUGUGAACCACCUCGUUGCUUCGGGGGCGACCCUGCCGUUCGCGGCGUGGGGCCCCCGGAGCCCAUCAAACCCUGCGUAACUAAGUCGUCGGAGUUUAAACAAAUUAAACAAAACUUUCAACAACGGAUCUCUUGGUUCGGGCAUCGAUGAAGAACGCAGC